UACGGAGGGUGCAAGCGUUGUUCGGAAUUAUUGGGCGUAAAGGGCGCGUAGGCGGUUGUUUAAGUCAGGUGUGAAAGCCCCCGGCUCAACUGGGGAGAGCCACCUGAUACUGGGCGACUAGAGUGCAGGAGAGGAAAGUGGAAUUCCAUGUGUAGCGGUGAAAUGCGUAGAUAUAUGGAGGAACACCAGUGGCGAAGGCGGCUUUCUGGACUGCAACUGACGCUGAGGCGCGAAAGCUGGGGGAGCAAACGGG
rnacentral:rRNA from 1 species